rnacentral:rRNA from 1 species
UACCAGCACCCCGAGUGGUCGGGACGAUUAUUGGGCCUAAAGCAUCCGUAGCCGGUCCUACAAGUCUUCCGUUAAAUCCACCUGCUUAACAGAUGGGCUGCGGAAGAUACUAUAGGGCUAGGAGGCGGGAGAGGCAAGCGGUACUCGAUGGUGGUAGGGGUAAAUCCUGAUCCAUUGAAGACCACCAGUGGCGAAGGCGGCUUGCCAGAACGCGCUCGACGGUGAGGGAUGAAAGCUGGGGGAGCAAACCGGG